CAGCCCCCUGAGUGAGGGCAGAGCACUUGUGCUUGUCCAUUAGCAAGUCCACCAGACCAGGAGAACUCCAGAAUAUGGGAGGAGGAGGAGGAGCUGCCACCGCCUCGCCUCUGCCAGGAAGCUGCAGGAGCGCAAGAACUAAUGGCGCCCCCAACCGCAGAAGACAAAGCCGCUGCUGCAGCUAGAGCUUUUAAGCCAGCUAGAGGUGUAGGAACCACUGCAGUGCGGGAGCCAAUGCUGCUGCCAGAGCAUGGAAGCCGCUGCCCCUGCCGGACCACCAGAGUGGCUGGAGUGCAGGAGCCCUUGACUUAGCUAAAGCGCAGGAACCAAAGCCGCCCCCAAAUCAUGGGAGGAGGAGCCACUGCUCCCGCCGCUGCCGCUGCUGCUGCCGCCGCCACACCAGAGCAUGAAAGCAUCCAGUUCACAGGAGCCUCUGGAGUGCAGGAGCCAACGCUGCCACCGCCCAGGGAGAGUGGGAGCCGCUGGAGUACAGGAGCCAGUGAUACUGCCAUGAGAGCAAGGAAUCUAACGCUACAGAGGUGAUGGCGUCCAGAACUCAGGAGCCACCAACACUGCCCAUAGAGCACUGGAGCUGCUGGAGUGUAGGAGCCAAUGCUGUUGCAGCUGGGAUGCAGGACCUGCUGCCACCAGAGCUCAGAGCCGCCAACUAUGGGACCCAAGCCAAAGGAGGUGGUAGCAGCAUUCCUGGGAAGAUGGGCCAUGAAAAGAGGUGUGGCUUGGAGCAGGAACUGGAGAACCUAAGGAUAGUGGCUACCUGAACACAACCAAGAGAUGAUGGACCACAUGAUCUCAGGAUUUUGGAGCAGCAUGGAGGACCAGUGUGCAAAGGCCACCUGGAGCUCAGGUGCCAGGGCCAUUUUGAAGCAUGACUGAAGAGAAUUGUGGCCCUCAGCACAUUGGGAUAGAAGCCAUGAGCAGGAGCAGCAAAGCUGGACAAGGAGCAAGCAGGCCAGACAUAAAGGCCUGGUUCUGAAGUCAGAGUGCAGCAAAAAAGAGAUGAAGAGGCUCAAAAAGAAUGAUGUGCAGAAACUUUCUCCCUGUGAAAUCCCGAUCUCAGCAGCACAUCUUUCACAUAGUGGCAGGAGGAGUAUUGGAGGAGAGAUGAGAGAGGGAGGGAGGAAGAAACAGAACUUCCCCAAUUCCACAGGAGUAAUUGUGUGUUACUUACAUUACACCUUGCAAAUUGAGUCUUCACAACAAAAGUCAAUGACAUUUCUAAUCCUUUCUAUACUGCAUAAAAUAGCUUUAUAUAUUUCCCCAACAUAUGGUUUAUGCUUUGCAAGUCGUAAAAUUUAUAUAUCUUGGUCUCUUUCCAAAUCAUGAACAAAUAUCAUGCAAUGGAGUUGACAUUUUAAUCCAAAAAGUGUUUAAAGUUCACAAAUCAGUGUGGCUUCUGACUGAACCUUGUGAAGUACAAUGCAACUUUUUCACAGCACAGACAAGUCCCAGGUCACUAUUUGACAGAGGAAAGGACAGGUGUAUAGUACCUUUAAUAACCCUUUGUUUUUAGCCAAGUUUUUCCCUGAAAUUAAAGGCAGAUACAAAUGAAUAAAUUGGCCCUCAUAAAAUGUCUUGAUCUUUAAACCUACUUUGUCAUAACUGUUAAGUGCCUAAGCACAUACAGCAAUAUCAGGGCAGCUCUGCUCAAAUUCUACAAAGCCAGGAUCACCUGGGUCAGGAGAAGCUCAUGUCUUCCUGUUGCUCCAGUGGGACAGUCUGAAUAUUGCCACCCACAGGAGGUCCUGGGGCCUUCAGCUUCAGCUCCACUACAAGGAUGGUCUUACCUGUAGAGCCUUAGGCCUGCCUGGACCUGCCAUACAGAAGCAAAGUGGGGCUUUUCAAGAGAUACAGGCUAUGGGCCCCUGCUUGAGAGGGAGGACCCUGGCCUGGAGGCUCUACCCUAGCUCUACCCCUCUCUGGAACUGUUUCUGAUUCAUCUGGGUUCUAGAGUGCAGGAACCUCCACCUGUUGGUAGCAUCUUCUUCUGGAGCCUUGCCUCUGCUGGCCUCAGUCCCACACCAGCUUGUCCUCCAUUGUUCCUGGCAUUUUCCUGCCAUUCUCUGCAAUUUCCAUUUCUCUUCCUUCUGGCAAAACAAUUUGACCUGUUUCUUGUAAGCCAAGGCAGAGGUGAGAGAAGACAUUGGGAGAUGAAUGUGCCAGUGACUAAUGGGCUUUCGUUUGGAUUAAAAAUCACAUAUCAUAGAAUGAAGAGUUGAUUUAAUGAGAGCCAUGGUUCUGGCUCUAGGGAGGGUAAGCCAUCCAGGGCUUCUGCAUCAUGGUGAAUCCCUGGUGAUUUCACAGGAUUCCAUAUCUAAGCAUGCAUGCAUUCUCCAGGUGGGCCUGGGCUUCUGGGCUGCCAUUUGGUUUUCUGUGUUUUGCUUCUUUUUUUGACUUAUUUUGCUUUUGAUAAUGACAUAUAACUUAAAAAAUGGAAUACCCAUCUCACAACUAGCACAGACACCUGGUACUCUGCGUCUACUGUGGUAGCACCCUUCGUGCCCAGUAGGCCCUUGAGCAGCAGCUAUGGCAAUCUUUCUACAUAGAAAAUACCCCUUAAACCUUCCAAAAAAUGCCAGUUGAUCACUUAGAAGAUCAGACUUGAAUUACACUGGAAUUACAUGUCUCCUUAGCUGUAUUGCUCCCAAUAGGACAUUUCCAAAUGGAAUGGCAAGCAGAGAAUGAGUCAUAGCACACAGUAUCCCUAAAUCCAUCAGUACUAAUGGUCUCAUGACCCCUGUGAAUUUCUAUGUGCUUGGUUGCAGCCCAGCCAACCCCAUCCAUGGUAGGACACAGGCUCUGUGCAGCCCAGUUUACAUGCAUUCCCAAUCCUUCUCAGGUGAGGCCUGGUAAGCAGGUAGGCCUGUGCCUCACUGUUACUCCACAGCUGCCCUUGAGCCAGUGGAUACCAAAUGGUCUCUGGCCCCCAUGCUAUUGAGCUCCAACAGCAACUGAGCUCAGGCUCUUGGAUAUCAGGGGAACAGUAGAGGAAUAGGUGGCCUCCAGUGCCCAUGGGCCCCACUACCACACUAUUGGCUUCCUCUUAGAUUUCUGCUGCUCCUUUAUGUGCCACAAUACAACAAAAACAAGUGAACUGGGCUAGAGUGAGGCAUGUGGGCACAAUUCUCAGGCCUUUAUGAAGGCCAGGUCUUAUUCUUUUGAGGAGUUCUUUGUGCUAAGCCAUUGUUGUGACUGCUUGAGAUAACAGGACCACUAGGAUGAGCCCUAGACUGUCCCUGGUGAGGUUCUGGGGCAUUGGACCUCCACUCUGUGGGUGUUCUUUCUGUGAACCUGUGCUCAGUUUCCAAACAGUGUCCAUAUACUAGGUGUGCAUCUCUGACAUAUGCUUUAAACAUGAGUCCUGUCUGUUCCACCAAUUGGUAGUUCUGGUGUUACCUGUAAAUAAAUAUGUAAACACCAGAAAAAGCACAGAGCAGAGAAGGGAGGUAAAAUCAACUUUACACCUAAAUAUUUUUAUUUUCUUCCCAACAAUUUGAAUAUAAAUAAUGAUAUUUUGCUAAAAUACUGCCUAAAAUACCUGACAUUUACAGACUAUGAUGUGGUAUCUGCAUCCAUGACAUGAGGUAGGCUGGGGCAUUCUUGGCCCAUUUAAGACUGUGGGACUGUGGCCAGAGCUGGUUUGGGAACUGGAUCCUGAGUUCCUUGUUUCCUGGAAUGUAGGUUGGAGCACUGACCUGCUCAUGUGUGACUCAGGGAGGUACUGCUCUGUUCUCACAUAGAGAGGCCAUUCCCUGACUCCAUGACAUGGCUGCGGCUGAUGGUGCUAAUACUAUUAGAGGCUUUCCAAGAGCCUAAUUUGAGUCCUUUGUGACAACUGCGGUUUGUGGUCCAAAUUAUCUAACUCCACACAAGAGCAACAGUGAUGACUUUGAGGUUUGCUCUUUGGGAAUAGAGGUGCUGAUCCAGCAGGGUCUCGGAUACUCAUGCCAUUGAGCUCUGGUCCAGCGUCCAGGAACAGGCCAGCCAGCUGUCUGCCUUUUCUGAACCGAGUUUUGCUUUCUCAUCUGCAAUGUAAGAGAAUCAGUGUGAUAAUGCACAAGCUUAGCACAACAGAAGGCCCCAGAGCAUCCACUCCUGCCCAAUGCCCACCCUGUGCAUGCCCCUCCCAACCAAGCGCCAGACACCCUGACCCUGUGGCUCAAUUCUGGAGAGCAUUUGGUGGUGUGUUUCAGUGCACAAAGGGUUGGCAUGCUGCAUCACUCUGUUCAAAAGAAGAAGAAAAAAAUACACGAAGUUUAAAAUAAAACUUGGAUCUCAUCCCCAAACUGAGAAUGUUUACAUGGAACAUAUUGAUCACAUGAGAAACAAAUGUUCCUUUUGGUCUGAGCAGCCCAUUAAUCCAAGGCAUUGUAGAAAAGAAUGACUGCCUGAAGUAUCAAGCACAAUUUCCGAUUUGGAUGAGGAAUAAACCAGGCUUCCCUUUUCAUGUUAGGAAGCCCUGUGUUAUGCUCACCAGGAGUCAGCGCCUGCUUGUGGUGUGCAUGGGUCCCCAGCACUGCCCUUCCACCCCUGCAGGGGCUGUCACAAUAUAGUCCAUCUGCUUUCAGCAUAGUGUCACCAUCCUGGAUCAGCAGCGGCUUGGUCUCUACAGCUCUUAACUGAGAAUAAUGCACCUUUUAAUCAAUCCUCUCAUGGGCAAGCCUCAAAGAACAAAGAUGUAAGACUAUAACUAUUAAACCCCUGGAAAACACUGAGUUUAGGAGCAUAUUUACAAAGAGAAAUGAAAAUGAACAAAAUUGUCCAGAUGCACACCAAAAAUAGCCAAGAGCAAUGCAGAUGUGGUCAGCCCUGAGCCUCGCUGUGGGGAUGCAGGUGUGGUCAGCAUGGAUCCUGGCCAUGGGGUUGAGGGAUUUCUGAGGGACAGAGCCAGCUAUGCUGCUAGGGCAUGGGCAGCUCACUGCUGGGCAGGUUUUAAUCAUCUUCUGAACAGGCAGCAUGUCGUCCAAGGCAGGACCACCUCGUCGUAAGGCGCAGGUAGAAGUUAUUUGGUGUUGAUGAAGGAUUUAAGUGAUUCAUAUUUUUUUCUAUUUUUUUCUUUCUAAAUUCUUUUUUAAAAAAUUUAUAGUUGUAAUUGGACACAAUACUUAUAUUUUUAUUUGUUUUUAUUUUUAUGUGGUGCUGAGGAUU